GAUCCUGGCUCAGGAUGAACGCUAGCUACAGGCUUAACACAUGCAAGUCGAGGGGCAGCAUGAACUUAGCUUGCUAAGUUUGAUGGCGACCGGCGCACGGGUGAGUAACACGUAUCCAACCUUCCGUUUACUCAGGGAUAGCCUUUCGAAAGAAAGAUUAAUACCUGAUAGUAUGGUGAGAUUGCAUGAUAACACCAUUAAAGAUUUAUUGGUAAACGAUGGUGNUGUCGUCUAGUUAGG
rnacentral:rRNA from 1 species